UUUCAACAACAACAAUAAAAGUGACAAAAGCUUAAAAGUGUUUAAAUUGAUCAUGAAGGUUGUGUUUUUUCUGUACUUGCUCUUCCUUCCGCUGUGUUAUUGUGGUUCCGAUGAGGCCUCAUAUGUUGAUCUCUCCAACAUCAAGAUUGACGAUGGUGUGGGAAUAACGGACUACGAGGGGACAGGAUCCAGCUGUCAACAUGACCCGAGCUGCCGACGUGGCCAUAAUCCGCGACGUGGCCAUAAGCCGCCACACUCUGGGACCCACGCACCCGCCUUUAUUAAGACAUGAAAAACAUAUAAUUUUCCAUUUGAAUUUGCUGAUGUAAGUUUCAUGAUAAGAAUAAAUAAUUAAAGAGGUAUGAACAAAUAAAAUUUUAA